CCGUCUGCUGCCCCCCCCCCCACAACCCCUUGCCCUGACCCACACAUCCACUCGCCCCCUUCUCCAAGAUGGAUAGGAGGGGGCCUCUUCCCCAAUUGUGCCUUGGCUCAGGAAACUGGAGUUUCUGGGAUGAACGUGCGGGGGGGACGACGACGACCCCUUGCAAAAGGAAGGCGAGAGCGCCUUGGCCACUCCGGCCGGCUGAAGCAUCAUCCGGCGGGAGGGGCAGUGGCUUUUGGAUCCUCCUGGACGGCCUCUCUCUUCAUCCAGGGAUACCUGCCAAUCCAAGCCUUUGUUGGAUUUACCCGCCUCCAUCCACACAUGUGAAAAUUGAAGCCAUUGCUUGUCUUUUUUUGGAUGGUUGUUUUUUUUUUUUUUUGUUUUUUUCUUAACUUCUGAAAUAAGCUAUGUCUCUCCUCGCCCUCUUUUCCUCCUUUUACCUGCCACUAUGGACCUCCCAACCUUGUCGAGGUUUGAGAAAGCGCAAGUUGCAGAAAGCUCUUCGGAACUGUGAUGUGAAGUUAUGGAUCAUUUUUCGUUCUCUGGGAUGGAAAGCCAAGCCAAACCAGGUUGUGGGGGGUGGUUUUUUUUUUUUUUUGAUAUCUGUCUUGCAAUAUUUUUUUUCCCCCUUUCUCGGUAAGCUUUGGCGUUAAGGACUUCAGAGCGGAAGACAAAAACGGGCGUUGAAAAGAAAAGAAAAGGUCUUUGCUUCCUCUCGCCCUUUUCAUUUGCUGGUUGCAAGCAAGUUUCUGUAAAACAUCUUUUUUCCACCCCCCACUUGAUUUAAAUUUCAAUUUGGAAGCUGAACGUCCGGCCUAAGAGACGGAUAGAACUGAAGACGAGAAAAUAACAAACCUGUCGGAACCGUCUGCAGAAAGUCAAAAAUUCUUUUUUGCUUUCGGAUCUCGGGGAGUUUUUUUCGGGUUUUUAAUUUUUUUAAAUUCCCUCCCCCCCCGCCCCAAAAUACUCCCUUCCCAAUGGUGCCUGCCAAAGAAAAGCUCACUGAUGGGAAAAUGUUUUUCCCCACUGCAAACCGUCUCGUGAAUGAAAAGUAUUAAGCGUCUCGCAAAGAAUAAGCUAUGCGCUGAAAAUGUAGCCUGACCAAUAUUGCAACCGGGACUGAAUUUGCAUCCAAGCCGACUCUUGACAGCGGGGAGAAAAAAAAUGGUUGAUUUUCCCUUAUGUGCAAUCCCAGGGGUUUGGUGUUUUGUUUUUGUUUUUAAAAAAAUUACGCAAUGGGGUGGUGGGAAUGUGAUGUUUCUCUCCACUUGUCCUCCCUUUUUCCCCGUCUUAGCAGCAAAGCUGGAAUAUCAGUAAGAUUUUCUCACUCUGCUCUUCAAUUCCCCUUAAAACAAAAGAGAAAAAAAAGAAAGCCCAACUUAAAAGCCAAUUUUGGAAUUAGGAUUAUUUUUAUAAAAAGAAAAUCAAUCAUUGAUCUGGGUUGAACUUUGGAAGUGGGGUUAAACUUCAUUUAAAGCCAUUUAUUUCUAUGGGUUUGCGGCUCCUUGGAGUGGGAUUGGUUGGGUUCUGUCUUGCUGGCAAUUUUCGGGGUUCCAGAGUGGCGAGGUUCAGGAGCCAGCAUUAAGUUUCUGGGUUUUGCUUUUAAAAAGUCACCAGAUGGUGGCACUGUGAGAUCUAUUGAAGUCUCUUUAGUAACGUAUUUGUCAGCUUUGCAAACCUUUAAGAUGGGUGGACUUCAACCCCCAGAAUUCCACAGCCAGCACAUCUUAAAAAGUCACAAAAGGCUGAAAAACACGGCUCUAACCCAAAGUAUUUGGCUUUAAACAGGAUAUCUCCAUGCGUCUUUCAAUCCUUGCACAAAAUGAAUUCUAUAUAAGCCACCCAGCCUCAUAUUUUUGAGGAUAGAGGCUCAUAAUAGAACGAUUGCCAAUUUCUUGCACACCUAAAAAAACAAAACCAUCUCUUCUAACUCCAAUUCCCUCCCGUCUCCAUCCCUGUUUAGCGAGCUUCUCUCUAAAAAGGGAAACCUGAGCCGCCGUGCCCGUUCUGCUCUGCCACCAAAUUCCUUUACCACUUAACCUCACCGUCAUAUUUCCGUGCACCUGUCCCCCUGCUUGUUCUUUACGGCACUUUGUGGCACCUGGAGAUGCUUUAAAAAAAAAGAAAAGAAAGAAAAUUCUCUGCAAACAACAACACCUCUUGCUUGUGUCUUGGGUGAAUAUUGGUGAAAAUACCCAAGGCGGAAGGCCUACAAGCGGAAGACCAAAGAGCCGCAGGUGGUUUGUCCGGCUGCAACCAUCCUUGAGCGUUGGCGCAAGCGUCGGAUGGUGUUUGGCAGCGUGGACCCGUCAGAAAUGAGAGUGCGAAGACCUCCCCCGAUUUCUACUCGUUGCACUAUUGCAAACUGCACAGGGGUUUUUAAAACUUUUCCCGCCUCCCCAUUUUCUAUUCUGUCCCACUCAAGCCAAUGUUAGCCGGAUUGG